rnacentral:rRNA from 1 species
AAAUUGAAGAGUUUGAUCAUGGCUCAGAUUGAACGCUGGCGGCAGGCCUAACACAUGCAAGUCGAACGGUAACAGGAAACAGCUUGCUGUUUCGCUGACGAGUGGCGGACGGGUGAGUAAUGUCUGGGAAACUGCCUGAUGGAGGGGGAUAACUACUGGAAACGGUAGCUAAUACCGCAUAACGUCGCAAGACCAAAGAGGGGGACCUUCGGACCUCUUGCCAUCGGAUGUGCCCAGAUGGGAUUAGCUUGUUGGUGGGGUAACGGCUCACC